UACAUAUGGGGCAAGCGUUGUUCGGAAUUACUGGGCAUAAAGGGUGCGUAGGUGGUCUAUUAAGUCAGGGGUGAAAUCCCGCGGCCCAACCGUGGAACGGCCUUUGAUACUGAUGGACUUGAGUGCGUGAGGGGUAGGGGGAACGAGCAGUGUAGCGGUGAAAUGCGUAGAUAUUGCUCGGAAGGCCAGAGCCGAAGGGGCCCCUACUGGUACGUAACUGACACUGAGGCACGAAAGCGUGGGGAGCAAACAGG
rnacentral:rRNA from 1 species